CUACGGGAGGCAGCAGUGGGGAAUCUUGCGCAAUGGGCGAAAGCCUGACGCAGCGACGCCGCGUGAGUGAUGAAGGCCUUCGGGUUGUAAAGCUCUGUGGGGCGAGACGAAUAAGUGCAGCCUAAUACGUUGCAUGAUGACGGUAUCGCCUUAGCAAGCACCGGCUAACUCUGUGCCAGCAGCCGCGGUAAGACAGAGGGUGCAAACGUUGUUCGGAAUUACUGGGCGUAAAGCGAGUGUAGGCGGUCUGAAAAGUCGGGUGUGAAAGCCCCGGGCUCAACCCGGGAAGUGCACUCGAAACUGCUAGGCUAGAGUAUCGGAGAGGUUGGUGGAAUUCUCGGUGUAGAGGUGAAAUUCGUAGAUAUCGAGAGGAACACCGGUGGCGAAGGCGGCCAACUGGACGAAUACUGACGCUGAGACUCGAAAGCGUGGGGAGCAAACAGGAUUAGAUACCCUAGUAGUCC
rnacentral:rRNA from 1 species